UGUAGGAACGUCAGAGAAAAAGUCAUC
rnacentral:piRNA from 1 species